GACGAACGCUGGCGGCGUGCUUAACACAUGCAAGUCGAGCGAACAGACCAGGAUUUUGCUCCUCUGACGUUAGCGGCGGACGGGAGAUUCACACGUGUAUCACCUACCUAUAAGACUGGGAUAACUUCGGGAAACCGGCGCUUAUACCGGAUGAUAUAUUGAACCACAUUGUUCCAUAGUUAGAGUCGGUUGUUCUGUCACUAAUAGCUGGAUACGCGCCGCAUUCGCUAGUUGUUAAGGUAACGGCUUACCAAGGCUAGGAUGCGUAUGCGGCCUAAGCGAGUGGUAGCCCACACGGGAUGUGAGACAGAGUCCAGACGCCUGCGGUACGACGCAGUAGGGAAUCGUACGCAAGGGGGGAGAGCCUUACGGAACAAGGCGGCGUGAGUGAUGAAGGUGCUAGGAUCGUAAAGCUCUGUUACGAGGGGAGAACAAAUGUGUAAUUAGCUGUGCACGUAUUGACGGUACCUGAUCAGGAAGCCCCGGCUAACUACGUG
rnacentral:rRNA from 1 species